UACGUAGGUCCCGAGCGUUGUCCGGAUUUAUUGGGCGUAAAGCGAGCGCAGGUGGUUUAUUAAGUCUGGUGUAAAAGGCAGUGGCUCAACCAUUGUAUGCAUUGGAAACUGGUAGACUUGAGUGCAGGAGAGGAGGGUGGAAUUCCAUGUGUAGCGGUGAAAUGCGUAGAUAUAUGGAGGAACACCGGUGGCGAAAGCGGCUCCCUGGCCUGUAACUGGCACUGAGGCUCGAAAGCGUGGGGAGCAAACAGG
rnacentral:rRNA from 1 species